GUCGAGCGGACAGAAGGGAGCUUGCUCCCGGAUGUUAGCGGCGGACGGGUGAGUAACACGUGGGUAACCUGCCUGUAAGACUGGGAUAACUCCGGGAAACCGGAGCUAAUACCGGAUAGUUCCUUGAACCGCAUGGUUCAAGGAUGAAAGACGGUUUCGGCUGUCACUUACAGAUGGACCCGCGGCGCAUUAGCUAGUUGGUGGGGUAAUGGCUCACCAAGGCGACGAUGCGUAGCCGACCUGAGAGGGUGAUCGGCCACACUGGGACUGAGACACGGCCCAGACUCCUACGGGAGGCAGCAGUAGGGAAUCUUCCGCAAUGGACGAAAGUCUGACGGAGCAACGCCGCGUGAGUGAUGAAGGUUUUCGGAUCGUAAAGCUCUGUUGUUAGGGAAGAACAAGUGCGAGAGUAACUGCUCGCACCUUGACGGUACCUAACCAGAAAGCCACGGCUAACUACGUGCCAGCAGCCGCGGUAAUACGUAGGUGGCAAGCGUUGUCCGGAAUUAUUGGGCGUAAAGGGCUCGCAGGCGGUUUCUUAAGUCUGAUGUGAAAGCCCCCGGCUCAACCGGGGAGGGUCAUUGGAAACUGGGAAACUUGAGUGCAGAAGAGGAGAGUGGAAUUCCACGUGUAGCGGUGAAAUGCGUAGAGAUGUGGAGGAACACCAGUGGCGAAGGCGACUCUCUGGUCUGUAACUGACGCUGAGGAGCGAAAGCGUGGGGAGCGAACAGGAUUAGAUACCCUGGUAGUCCACGCCGUAAACGAUGAGUGCUAAGUGUUAGGGGGUUUCCGCCCCUUAGUGCUGCAGCUAACGCAUUAAGCACUCCGCCUGGGGAGUACGGUCGCAAGACUGAAACUCAAAGGAAUUGACGGGGGCCCGCACAAGCGGUGGAGCAUGUGGUUUAAUUCGAAGC
rnacentral:rRNA from 1 species